CCUACGGGGGGCAGCAGUGGGGAAUAUUGGACAACGGGGGCAACCCUGAUCCAGCCAUGCCGCGUGUGUGAAGAAGGCCCUCGGGUUGUAAAGCACUUUCAGUGAGGAAGAACGCCUGGUGGUUAAUACCCAUCAGGAAAGACAUCACUCACAGAAGAAGCACCGGCUAACUCCGUGCCAGCAGCCGCGGUAAUACGGAGGGUGCGAGCGUUAAUCGGAAUUACUGGGCGUAAAGCGCGCGUAGGUGGCUUGAUAAGCCGGUUGUGAAAGCCCCGGGCUCAACCUGGGAACGGCAUCCGGAACUGUCAAGCUAGAGUGCAGGAGAGGAAGGUAGAAUUCCCGGUGUAGCGGUGAAAUGCGUAGAGAUCGGGAGGAAUACCAGUGGCGAAGGCGGCCUUCUGGACUGACACUGACACUGAGGUGCGAAAGCGUGGGUAGCAAACAGGAUUAGAUACCCGAGUAGUC
rnacentral:rRNA from 1 species